UUGGCACCAGGAGCAGCUCCUGUUCACCAGGACUGGAAGAGUUAACAGCAGAGGGAGAGCCUGCAGUGGAGUUCAGAGAGCAAAUUGUCCUUGGAGUCCGUGCACUUCCUUCAGGUGUGACCUCUGCUUCCAGACAAAAAUGGAUCUGCAGCUUAGACACAUUCUAAAAAUGGAAGGAAACAUCCCCAACAGAACCAAGCAGGAAAACCUGUGAUGUGCCUCAACAUCUUCAGGGCAGAACUGCAACGGCCUGACGGGAGAUGAUGCAAAGCUGGCCCUGCAG